GUCGAGCGGAAAGGCCCUUCGGGGUACUCGAGCGGCGAACGGGUGAGUAACACGUGAGUAACCUGCCCCAGACUUUGGGAUAACCCUCGGAAACGGGGGCUAAUACCGGAUAUGACUGCCGGCCGCAUGGUUGGUGGUGGAAAGUUUUUCGGUUUGGGAUGGACUCGCGGCCUAUCAGCUUGUUGGUGGGGUAAUGGCCUACCAAGGCGACGACGGGUAGCCGGCCUGAGAGGGCGACCGGCCACACUGGGACUGAGACACGGCCCAGACUCCUACGGGAGGCAGCAGUGGGGAAUAUUGCACAAUGGGCGGAAGCCUGAUGCAGCGACGCCGCGUGAGGGAUGACGGCCUUCGGGUUGUAAACCUCUUUCAGCAGGGACGAAGCGUAAGUGACGGUACCUGCAGAAGAAGCGCCGGCCAACUACGUGCCAGCAGCCGCGGUAAGACGUAGGGCGCGAGCGUUGUCCGGAUUUAUUGGGCGUAAAGAGCUCGUAGGCGGCUUGUCGCGUCGACUGUGAAAACUUGGGGGCUCAACUCCAAGCUUGCAGUCGAUACGGGCAGGCUAGAGUUCGGUAGGGGGAGACUGGAAUUCCUGGUGUAGCGGUGAAAUGCGCAAAUAUCAGGAGGAACACCGGUGGCGAAGGCGGGUCUCUGGGCCGAUACUGACGCUGAGGAGCGAAAGCGUGGGGGAGCGAACAGGAAUUAAAUACCCUGGUAGUCCACGCUGUAACGUUGGGGCCCUAGGUGUGGGGGACCCUCUCGGUCUUCUGCGCGCACUAAGGCAUU
rnacentral:rRNA from 1 species